rnacentral:rRNA from 1 species
UUUAAAGUCUGAUCUGCCCUAUGAGGGGUUAAAUGGCCGCGGUACUUUGACCGUGCAAAGGUAGCAUAAUAAUUAGUUUUUUAAUUGAAAGCUGGAAUGAAUGAUUGGACGAGGAAAUGACUGUCUCAAUUUAAUUUUUUUUUGAAUUUUAUUUUUAAGUAAGAAAGCUUAAAUUUUAUUAAAAGACGAGAAGACCCUAUAGAGUUUUAUAUUUACUUUGGUUUUAAUUUUAAAGUAUUAUUUUAUUAAUAUUAAAUUAAAUAUUUUAUUGGGGUGAUAGAAAAAUAUUAUUAACUUUUUUUAUAUUUUUAGCCAUUAAUUUAUGACUUAAUGAUCCAUUGUUUAUGAUUAAAAGAAUAAGUUACCUUAGGGAUAACAGCGUAAUUUUUUUUAAGAGUUCUUAUCGAGAGAAAAGAUUGCGACCUCGAUGUUGGAUUAAAAUUAAUGUUUGGUGUAGGAGCUAAAUAAUUAGGUCUGUUCGACCUUUAGAAUUUUACAUGAUCUGAGUUUAAACCGGCGUAAGCCAGGUUGGUUUCUAUCUUUAAUUAAGUUGAAUAUUUUAGUACGAAAGGACCAAAUAUUUAUAAAAAUUAUUUUAUUUUAUGAAUAAUAUUAG